rnacentral:rRNA from 1 species
AUUGAACGCUGGCGGCAUGCCUUACGCAUGCAAGUCGAACGGCAGCACGGGAGCAAUCCUGGUGGCGAGUGGCGAACGGGUGAGUAAUAUAUCGGAACGUGCCCAGUCGUGGGGGAUAACGCAGCGAAAGCUGUGCUAAUACCGCAUACGAUCUACGGAAGAAAGCGGGGGAUCGCAAGACCUGGCGCGAUUGGAGCGGGCGAUAUCAGAUUAGCUAGUUGGGGGGGGAAAGGCUCCCCAAGGCGACGAUCUGUAGCGUGUCUGAGGGGACGACCGGCCACACAUGAACUGAGACCCGGUCCGACCUCCUACGGGAGGCAGCUGUGGGGAAUUUUGGACAAUGUGCGCAAGCCUGAUCCAGCAAUGCCGCGUGCAGGAUGAAGGCCUUCGGGUUGUAAACUGCUUUUGUACGGAACAAAACGGUGAGCUCUAAUACAGUGUGCUAAUGACGGUACCGUAAGAAUAAGCACCGGCUAACUACGUGCCAGCCGCCGCAGUAAAAC